rnacentral:rRNA from 1 species
UACGGAGGGUGCAAGCGUUGUCCGGAUUUAUUGGGUUUAAAGGGUGCGUAGGCGGCUUUUUAAGUCAGUGGUGAAAUCCAGCAGCUUAACUGUUGAAUUGCCAUUGAUACUGGAGAGCUUGAGUACAGACGAGGUAGGCGGAAUUUAUGGUGUAGCGGUGAAAUGCAUAGAUACCAUAAAGAACACCGAUUGCGAAGGCAGCUUACUAGGCUGUAACUGACGCUGAGGCACGAAAGUGUGGGGAUCAAACAGG